rnacentral:rRNA from 1 species
UACGUAGGGUGCGAGCGUUAAUCGGAAUUACUGGGCGUAAAGCGCGCGUAGGUGGUUUGUUAAGUUGAAUGUGAAAUCCCCGGGCUCAACCUGGGAACUGCAUCCAAAACUGGCAAGCUAGAGUAGAGUAGAGGGUGGUGGAAUUUCCUGUGUAGCGGUGAAAUGCGUAGAUAUAGGAAGGAACACCAGUGGCGAAGGCGACCACCUGGACUCAUACUGACACUGAGGUGCGAAAGCGUGGGGAGCAAACAGG